rnacentral:tRNA from 1 species
GCGGAUGUGGCGUAAUUGGCAGCCGCGCUAGACUUAGGAUCUAGUGUCGAAAGACUUGUGGGUUCGAGUCCCACCAUCCGCA